rnacentral:lncRNA from 1 species
GUUUUGUGCAUUGUUGCUAUGCAGCCAUCUGGUAGCCCCUGGAUUUCUGGAAUCUGCCAGUGGGGACAUGUGCUGACAUUCAGAAGAGAGCUCAUUAGCAGACCUCACCAACAGCAGAUGACACUUCAGCUAACCUGAGAGUCAGUCUGGAGGCAGUGCAGGAGCCAUCAGGACCACGCCAUGCACUGAGUAAUUUCCCUUUCAGAAAGCUUUAACAACAGCCCUCUGCCUCUGGACCCCACUCAGGCACCUGCUGUUCUGCUUGGUCUGUACCAGCCUGUUUCCAUCUCUACCAGAUUCUGCCCACUGUUGCCAAGCAUGGAGCACCUCGAAGGAGGCCAGGAGAGGAGUAAGAUCUGCUCACCAGGCGUGCAAGAAAGGAGCAGAGUUGAGGUAUGGCCCCAUUGAAACAGCACGUGAUGUGGCUACCUGGCAGCAGUGGUUUUCACUCUACAGAGAAACAACCAAAGCAGUUCCCAAUAUUUAAUUUUGAACUCAU